CAUGGAAGUAUUGUAAUAUAUAUUUAUUUUGCAUUGUGAGUUAAAGGUUGUAAUCCACACAUCUACCUUGGUUUUUUGUUUUUAUCUGUAUCUGUAUCUGUAUAGUACUGGAAAUGAACUCAAAAUACUGAGUAAAAUUUAUCCAGGAAGUUUGUGUGCGCCCCUGAUGUAACUAGUGGCGCGAUAUAACUGCCUUAAAAC
rnacentral:lncRNA from 1 species